ACCACUGAGCCAUCUUUCCAGCCCGACUUUAAGACUUUUAAGAUGGUGUCUACUGCUUAAAUUUUCAAAUGGCUCAACUUUAAACACACACACACACACACACACACACACACACACACACACACACACUUUAGACAAACUGAAUGUGAAUUUGAAUGAGUAAAGAAGGAUUUGUAAGUUGGGCAGUGGCCAGAACCAAAACCGUCCAGGGAACUCUGCCCCACAGGACCGGGCAGGAAAACAGUUACAGACAGCAAAAGAAGGCCAGGAACACUCCAUUGCCUGGAGCUUGGCAGUGCCCUGUGGGCAUGGCCUGAUCAGCCGAUAGCUCGUAACUGGCUGAAACUUAGCUGGUGUGGUUGGCUGAGACCAAUCUGUUUGUUACUAAAUAUACUCCAGAGUUUGACCUUCGAGGAUGUUUACCUGCUAAACUGGGUCGUUGCCCUUUGGGCAGGGCUUCAGCUAAUAGAAACAAACUCGGUGCAGGGGCAGUUUCGUUUAGUGAUUCUGAUUUACAGGUUGUUAAAUCAUGAUUCAGUCUAGGCUCAUUAGCCACCAGCCAAUGGGUCCUCCUUUCUUAUUACAUUUGCAUAAUUUGUUUGCUACACUUAAAAACGUUACAUAUUUAUUCACGAAACAUCGGGUUCAGAUGUGUGUUUUAAGCCACAAGAAGACAGCGUCGUCCCAUGCCUUAGAGCAGAACAUCCAGUCCUUUGCCUGCGUUGCUCAGGAUUGGCGGAGUAGCAGUGGUAAAUGGUGAAGCAGUCACAGAAGGUCCCCAAGCCCCAGCCUCGGAAGGUAGCUAGGUAAGAGCGCAUUGGUAUAUAAAACUGUUCACGGUAAGUUUACAGAGCUGGAUAGCUUCCAGCAAGACGAUAAUGCUGAUGGCAGUGCCAAGUGCCAUCAGGGUCAUCUCAAGACCCUGUGUGAGGCAGGGUGUCACCUGGCUGUGCAUCUUGGCCUAGCAUAGUCCUGGUUACAAACGUCUGCCUCCCUAGACAAGUAGCUGUGGACACUGUGCUUAUGUGUUUACAGAUUUCCCUGGUACUUCUCGUUAUGGAUACAAUCCAAACCACAUACUACUUAGCAAAUAUAAUUAAAUAAGGACCAGCUGCACCGCGUAACCACUGAAAAGUCACCACCAUUCUGAAAAGGAAGGGAUCUUUAGUUCUAAGUCAAAGCAGUUCUAGAGCAAGCAAGGAGAGCUGGGUAUUUAGUGAAUGUGUAAGAGGUACAUGCAGCCUUCAGUACAGGAAGUGAACCCUGUCACCGUGAGGUAACGUCCCUUUUCUCCAUUUCUCGGAGAAAUCCAGGCUUUCUCUGGAUCAGGCCUUCUCGUGCGUGGGCAACAGCCGUUACUUACGGGGCCGUAGGAUUGCAAGUGCCUUCCUCACACCAAAGGAGAGGACAUCUGCAGCCCAGCUCUUCCCGAGACCGGAGUUUGAGUCCCAGCACAAACAUGGUGGCUCGGAACCAUCUGUAAUUCCAGUUCCAGAGGGUCCGACACCCACUUCUUCAUGAGCAGCAAGCGUGUAGUCUGCACUGAGUUACAGGCUGACGUAAUGAGCGCUCUCCGAGAAUGCUGGCCGGCUCCUGCUCAUCAAUCCGUUCUUUCCUCAUUGCUGCAUGGAACUGAGAAUCCAUCACCAACUACAGAUGAAACGCCAAAGAGGAACCGUGGAAGAGGCGGACAGCGUUCCCGUUUGUUUCUAGCACGGUUUCUAUUCUCCCCAGCAUCUCCGAACUCCUAAUCGUUGCCGUCUGGGAUGUGAGUAGACUGAGUUUUCCCAGUGCCUUCCCAUCUACCUGUCCUUUUUGUUUGUUGUUGUUGUUGAAAAUUUUACUGAGACAAUUGCAGUUUUGCAAUGGCUUCUAAGAAGGGAUGUGGAAUGUU
rnacentral:sRNA from 1 species